rnacentral:tRNA from 2 species
ACUGGGGUGGCAGAGCAUGGUUAAUUGCGAAAGGCCUAAGCCCUUUUACACCAGAGGUUCAAAUCCUCUUCCCAGUU